rnacentral:lncRNA from 1 species
CAACACAGUGUUCAAGCUGCAUAUUAUUAUUAGUUUGUAACACAGAUUGAUUUUGAGGUUAAGAAGGGAAACACGUUUUUCGAUCCCUUCUCUGCAGCUUUGGGUUUGGUUAUCAUAUUUGGGAUUUUGAAUCCUCCUCAGCAAAUUGCUCUAGUGCUUUUGGUUUGGCGAAGAUAACAAGAGGUAAAGGGAGUUCCCUUU